ensembl:lncRNA novel transcript
GGAAGCUAGGGUAGGCUGACGAAGUCAGACUUAGUGUGGGAACCUGUUAAGCAGUGGAUCGAUGUUAGCUGUUUUCACUUAUUGCACUAGUAUAAUCAGUUUGAUGAUACAUACUUUAGCCCCAGCUGUUACUUAAGACCUGGUUUCACAUUUUAUGUUCUUUUUCCUGUGCAGGCUGGGAAAGGGUUUCUUCUGUCCAUAAAAGCUACUCCAAUGGCUGUGGGAGACUUAAUUCCAAUUCCAGGUGAUACAGCCGUCAAUCUCCCACUAGCUGUAGGAUGGUGUGUGUGCUGCAGUUCACAGGGCAAAGGAGAUAGAAGUGGAUGAAAUGAGAGAAUUUUCUUUAA